rnacentral:rRNA from 1 species
UACGUAGGCAGCGAGCGUUGUUCGGAAUUACUGGGCGUAAAGAGUGUGUAGGCGGUGCUCUAAGUUCGGUGUGAAAUCUCCCGGCUUAACUGGGAGGGUGCGCCGGAAACUGGAGUGCUCGAGCGUGGGAGAGGAAAGCGGAAUUCCUGGUGUAGCGGUGAAAUGCGUAGAUAUCAGGAGGAACACCAGUGGCGAAGGCGGCUCACUGGACCGGAACUGACGCUGAGGCGCGAAAGCGUGGGGAGCAAACAGG